UAGCAAUACUUAGUGGCAGACGGGUGAGUAACAUGUGGGUAUCUGCCCUUUGGCCUGGAAUAACACGAGGAAACUUGUGCUAAUACCGGAUAAGUCUUUACGGAGAAAGCUUUAUGCACCAUUGGAUGAGCCCGCACUUGAUUAGUUUGUUGGUGGGGUAAUGGCCUACCAAGACUGUGAUCAAUAGCUGAUUUGAGAGGAUGAUCAGCCACAUUGGGACUGAGACACGGCCCAAACUCCUACGGGAGGCAGCAGUGGGGAAUCUUGCACAAUGGAGGAAACUCUGAUGCAGCGAUGCCGCGUGAGUGAAGAAGGCCCUUGGGUUGUAAAGCUCUUUCGUCGGGGAAGAAAAUGACUGUACCCGAAUAAGAAGGUCCGGCUAACUUCGUGCCAGCAGCCGCGGUAAUACGAAGGGACCUAGCGUAGUUCGGAAUUACUGGGCUUAAAGAGUUCGUAGGUGGUUGAAAAAGUUAGUGGUGAAAUCCCAGAGCUUAACUCUGGAACUGCCAUUAAAACUUUUCAGCUAGAGUAUGAUAGAGGAAAGCAGAAUUUCUAGUGUAGAGGUGAAAUUCGUAGAUAUUAGAAAGAAUACCAAUUGCGAAGGCAGCUUUCUGGAUCAUUACUGACACUGAGGAACGAAAGCAUGGGUAGCGAAGAGGAUUAGAUACCCUCGUAGUCCAUGCCGUAAACGAUGUGUGUUAGACGUUGGAAAUUUAUUUUCAGUGUCGCAGCGAAAGCGAUAAACACACCGCCUGGGGAGUACGACCGCAAGGUUAAAACUCAAAGGAAUUGACGG
rnacentral:rRNA from 1 species